GGGAGCCCCGGAGAGUUGUUUCCAUGGGAGUCGGGGGUGAGGAGGCUCAGGCUGUGCCGGGGCACCUUGGAGGCCAGGUCCUGCUGGGGUUGGGGGCCGGGGGCAGAACAGACCCAGGAGAGCACAGCACCAAGGAGGGCAUUGGCGGGGCUGCCGGCUGGUGCCGGGACGGACAGAUGGACACACAGCCCCCUUUACUUGCAGGCCAGGCUGCAACAGAGGGCCACUCAGACACACAGCCUUGAAACACAGACAGACAGACAGACACACACACACACACACACACACACACACUCGGCCCCAUACCCAGGUACACAUCUGCUUGGACAGGUCCCCUGCACUCAGAGACAGGCAGGCACACGCACUCACACGUGCACCCACCCCAGCCCACCUGCUGGGAUGGGACACGCGUGCACACACACACACACAUGAACACACACCCACAUGCAUGGCUCGCACGCACACGCAGGUGCACAGUGUGCUGACUCCCUGGAUGCACAGGGCCCAGGUGAGCCGCUGCUGCAUGACUCAGACUCCAGUUCCCGGCAGCCGGCUGCAGCUGGGCAGCCUUCCAGCAGCGGGUCGGACAGACGCGGCUUCACUGCCGGGAAGAGGCCCUGGCAGCCUCCUGCGUCUCCAGCCCAUGGCGUGAUGGGCACAGCCCUGUCCUUCAGGAGGGGACACGGCCACGGUCUCACCCCUCCUGCCCUGGUGUCUUCUCUCAGGCUGGGCAGCAGCCCUGGGCCAGAGACCCUGCCCCCCUCCCCGGAGCCCUGCCUUCCUCUGACCGCAGUGAGUCAAAUCCGGCAUCUGUGCAGAUGCUGACCUGAGGAGCAGGGGUCACCUAUCAGCAACCUGGGCUGCCCUCACCCCCUCCUUCCGCCAGGGCCGAGCACCCAAUGUCGGGGCCCCUCUGCCGCCUCCUCUGAGUCUUGACUCACCCUCGGAGCACCUCCUGAGUGGGGUCACCAGGUCUGGGGCACCAGGUAAUGCUGUGUGCCUGGGCGCUGCCGUGCUGCACCCUGAGGACCACAGCGCUGCCCUCACUCCCCAUCAGGUCGACACGGGGCAGGGGGAGCUUCAGAAGAGUGGCUCCAGCCCGGGCAACACCCCACUCGGGCCUCGGGCCUCGGGCCUCGGGCCUGGACCUGAGCUUCCCCACCUGCACACAAGGUGAGGCCCUGGGCUGUGAAGACAGCAACGACAGUGGACCAGGGGCUGCUGGCCCCGGCGACAUCGAGGCAGGAGAGAGCCAGCGCCUGGUCACCUCCUGCAGGGUCACCGUGUCUGUCCAGGCUGGGCAGUCUGACGGGACAGUGUGAUUGCUCGCACACUGCAGAGCCCGCUGUUGUGCGGGCAGCCGGGGAGGAGGCAGGAGGCAGGAGGCAGGAGGCUGCGGUCCAGGUUCAGAGAAUGAUCUCAUCUGGUGACUUUUUAAAUUGAUGUUUCCAGUAGCUUGGCUGAGAAGGACCAGGGGGAGGGAGGGUGAUUCGUGCAAACAGGACAGGGCCCGGAGGAGCCCAAGGACGCAGGGUGGGGAGAGGUGAGCCUGGCCGGCGGGUGAGGAUCCGGGCCUCGCGGGGCCUGAUGGCUGCGCAGGGAGUCUGACUGCAGGAGCCCGGGGUGGGGCUGAUGGAAACGCCUGCACCGCCUGGGAGGGGCGCCGGCAGAGGGCACGGCUGGCCCACCGGUGCCCAUCGAUGCCCAUCGGCGCCCCUCGCCCUGGGUGGCAGCUGCAGGAGGGCUGGGGACCCAGUGGAAUCACGCACUGCCGGCGGCUCAGAGGCAGCGGGCGCUCCUCCCGCCUCGCGUUAGGAAGGACGAGGCCAGGAGCCCGCGGGGAAGGCGUCACGCAGCCGCCGGACAGUCCGCGUGGGGCGCGUGCAGCAGGCCUCGCGCAGGGAGAUCCGCGCCCCUCUUCCCACCGCGUCUGGGCGGCGCCGGGGGCGGGGCUCCGCGGGGGCGUGGCCGGUCUCAGCCACGCCCCUCUUGCACCAGAGCGUGACGUCACGGUGGCGACGCCGGAAGUGGGGCUGGUGCGCAUCGUUGCCGGGCAACCGGCGGGAGCGGGACGCGGGGACUUGGAGCCGCAGGCAGCGAUCGAGGUCCCAGGGGCGACGCGGCCCAGGUGGGUGCGGGCCGGAGCCGGACCCCCGGCCUGAGCGCGCCCAGCUCGCCCCUCGGGAGCCGCAGACCCGGUCCCCGAGGGCGGUUAGUGGCCAACCCCGAACUCCGGCUGCCCUCCCGUCCGCCCCGCCCCGCCCCGCCCGGGGACCACCCGGAGUCCCGAUCCCACUGGGGACUCCCCCUCCCCCCGUCCCCCCGCCCCGAGCGCCCGGACUCUCCCUUGCUCUGGCCAGACCGGGCCUCGCUGACCCCUGCCCACCGGCCCGAGUCCCCACGGCACCGAGUUGUCUGAGGACAUGCCCCUGUGCGGGACGUGGCCGGGCGCCUGGGUGUCGGGACUGUGUGCGUCCCACUGUGACCCUGGACCAGGCGGGGCCACUCGCACCCCGGGGGAAGCCACCCGCAGCUCCUGGGCAGUGGGCGAGCCGCGGCCCCCAGGCCCCGGCAGCCCUGGGCCGCCCAGCUCCGCUGUGCGUGUGUCUCCUGAGCGUCCUCCCGUCUGCGGGGCUGGCCACACCCGCGCACACACGCACGUGGGAGCUCUAAGCGGGUCUCCGCGUGACCUCACAGCGGAAGCAGGCGAGGUCUCCGACCGCCAGGCCUCCGAAGGCAGCUGCUGAGAAGGCUAACCCCUGUUUUGUAAAACUACUGUUUGGAAUUCUCUGCUAUUCUUUAGACGGCCUCUUAUUCUAAAAAUAAAUAAUAAUGACUUUG